rnacentral:rRNA from 17 species
GGCAAAGUUCGAUAGUACCACAACUCUUCGGACGAGUGGAUAGUGUGCCUAAGCGCUUCCAAGAAAAACCUCUAAGCUUCAGAUUAUAAGAACCCGUACCGUAAACCGACACAGGUGGUUGGGAUGAGUAUUCUAAGGCGCUCGAGAGAUUCAUGGUUAAGGAACUAGGCAAAAUAGACC